rnacentral:lncRNA from 1 species
GUGCCCCUUCCUUCAAGGCCUGGAGUCACAGAUUUCUUGGGCUAGCACGCCCGCCAGCAGGUUUUUGGCUGGGAACUCAGCCCUUCGGCCAGGCGACCAUCUUUUAGUCCCACUCCUUCCUGGUUCGCGCUCAUCCCAAACGAAAAGUCAAAAAAUGUCUUUAACUGAAACAAGAUCCUCUGUCCCUUGGGGGCUUUUCCUCAGCCUGACUUUGGCUCGGCCUGCCCUUGCUGGCCUUGGUAGCCCUUUCUAUGGCCCUGUACAUCCCCUUCCUUAGAGACCGUGGGAGAACCAUUCCUACCCUGGAUUCUAGGUUCUGCCCCAAGGCCCUGUACCCAACAGCUAGGCCUGCUCCUGGACCUUUGUUGCGGUUUCCCCUGGUUUCCCCUCAGCUGGAGCUCACUCUGUAAUCCAUUUGGCCUAGCUCCAGGCUUUAUAGCCCACAGGCCAAGCCCCCUGUUAUAUACCCUCCUCCUUAGAACCUGGCCCACGCGGGGGCAAGUUCUAUUCUUCUCCAAGCUUCAUCCCUCCUCAUCUCAUCGCUGUCACCGGCUGCGCGCUUGUACAGCCUGUGCGCAGUGUCUGCAGCUCCACUGCCAGCUCGCUCGGGGCAAACCUUCUCUUCUGCAGUAUCCCCACGCUCUUCCUGCAGCCACUCAGUCUCAUGAACAGCUGCUUGCAGAGCCUCUUCUGAAGCCUUUAGCGUCUUCUGUUGCCUUUUUGCUACUGCCGCUGCAUCUGCCAAAACCUUUUCGGUCAGGGUCUGAGAACCCACCAUGGACUGCUCCACCCUUGAGUUUGUCCCUCCUCCAGUCUGCUUCAUCUCUGGGCCAAUCAUUUCGUCCUUCAUCUCCCUGCAGCACCCGACAGGGUGUGUUGGUGGGGGGUCUGCAAGGUCCAUGGCCACCCCAGCCACCUCCACCUUGCCUGCCUCAUGGGGGUUUGUGUCAGAGGACACCUUCUCCUUUCUUUCUAACUUCUUAGGGCCCUGGCCCCUCGUUCAGCCACUCA